rnacentral:rRNA from 1 species
UGGGGAAUCUUGCACAAUGGGGGCAACCCUGAUGCAGCGACGCCGCGUGAGCGAUGAAGCCCUUCGGGGCGUAAAGCUCUUUCGACCGGAACGAUAAUGACGGUACCGGGAGAAGAAGCUGCGGCUAACUACGUGCCAGCAGCCGCGGUAAUACGUAGGCAGCAAGCGUUGUUCGGAGUUACUGGGCGUAAAGAGUGCGUAGGCGGUUUUCUAAGUUCGGUGUGAAAUCUCCCGACUUAACUGGGAGGGUGCGCCGAAGACUGGGAAGCUGGAGUGUGGGAAAGGCAGGCGGAAUUCCUGGUGUAGCGGUGAAAUGCGUAGAUAUCAGGAGGAACACCAGCGAUGUAGACGGCUUGCUAGACCAUAACUGACGCUGAGGCACGAAAGCGUGGGUA